GUAUUACAUAUAAAUACAAAAUACAUAUAUUAAUCUCACUCAAAGAAGGAAAUAAGGACAACGAACCGUUUCACUUUCAGGAGCUUAAUGCGCCAAUACUGGACUCGAAAGCAUUAUGUCAAGAAACCCCAACAUCCAUAACCUAAUUCCAACUUCUGUAAAAUGCGCCCCCAAAGCUAUUAUUCCUCACCAUUUAGCUACAUGCAUAUAAAUCAGGGACAUGACUUAUGCAAUCUUUGGCAUGAUUAAUGCUGCUCCAGUAAAAACUGCCUCCAGCAUAUGCAAUAUUGGGAUCUGAUUCACCAUUUACUUUUUGCCUUGUAUCUUAGGAUUCUUUCCUUGCGUUCUGUAAUAAAACAUAAUCAACACUAAAGAGACCUGCUUUUUAUAUGUGCUGACGUGCUUAUAAUAUUCGUUGAGAGCUCUAUAUGAAUCUUCAAUUGUCUUAACGAUAAGAACUCAUUUCAGAGGCGAUGAUUUAUCAGGUUCCAGUUUAGAAACAGCGAAUUGAAAGUUGACCUUCUUAAAAAGGAGAGAAGAACAUUGAAUUGAGAAUGAAACUUUGCUAUAAAUAUAUCUGAACAGGGAGUGCUUUUAAUGGCCUGGCUCAUACAUUCAGAGUCUGAAAUUGGUCAUUACUUCUUUUUUCCUAAUCCAGAACAGGGUCAGUGAACGAUAACUUCAGUUUUGAUACUAUAAUGCAAUUUCUCUUCUUCAGGCAAACAAGUUAUUCUAAGAUCUUUGCACCCUUUAUGUUGAUGAAUUAUCAUGUAUGACUGCACGGUAGACUCUGUCAUUAGCUUUCUUAGACUGCAAAAGAGAGAGCA